GGUAGAUGCUGUGCAAAGUGUUGUGCAAGCGUUAGUGUUGGAUGAGGGUCAUCUAGCCCUCACCCUAUGCAGAGGCGCUUCCGCUGCGCUGCUUACAAGAAGCAAAAUGAGGAUUGGAGAGCUCCACUCAUCAUCUCAAGGUGACAGAGCUGGUUGUCAAAUCAAAGUCUUCUGAAAUUAAACACAAUAUCCCUAGAGUAGUCUUCUGGAGUGAGAGUGCCUGGGCUCAACGUGUCUUGGAGCUGAGUCUGCAUCUGUGAAACGGGAGCACCAACCUCCUAGCGCCCUCAUCAGGUGUAAGGUAGACAACAGGAGUGCACACAGAACCUGGCUGAGAGUACAUUCAAUAAAGAUGAUAAAGGGCAAGCUGGCUGUAUGCCCAGCUCAUUCUGAGGGGUGGAAGACACCGAGCAUGUGAAAACAUCAUGGCAG
rnacentral:lncRNA from 1 species